rnacentral:rRNA from 1 species
GAGUUUGAAUCAUGGCUCAGAUUGAACGCUGGCGGCAGGCCUAACACAUGCAAGUCGAGCGGUAACAUUUCAAAAGCUUGCUUUUGAAGAUGACGAGCGGCGGACGGGUGAGUAAUGCCUGGGAAUAUGCCUUGAUGUGGGGGAUAACCAUUGGAAACGAUGGCUAAUACCGCAUAAUGCCUACGGGCCAAAGAGGGGGAUCUUCGGACCUCUCGCGUCAAGAUUAGCCCAGGUGGGAUUAGCUAGUUGGUGAGGUAAUGGCUCACCAAGGCGACGAUCCCUAGCUGGUCUGAGAGGAUGAUCAGCCACACUGGAACUGAGACACGGUCCAGACUCCUACGGGAGGCAGCAGUGGGGAAUAUUGCACAAUGGGCGCAAGCCUGAUGCAGCCAUGCCGCGUGUGUGAAGAAGGCCUUCGGGUUGUAAAGCACUUUCAGUCGUGAGGAAGGUGGUAGUGUUAAUAGCACUAUCAUUUGACGUUAGCGACAGAAGAAGCACCGGCUAACUCCGUGCCAGCAGCCGCGGUAAUACGGAGGGUGCGAGCGUUAAUCGGAAUUACUGGGCGUAAAGCGCAUGCAGGUGGUUUGUUAAGUCAGAUGUGAAAGCCCGGGGCUCAACCUCGGAAUUGCAUUUGAAACUGGCAGACUAGAGUACUGUAGAGGGGGGUAGAAUUUCAGGUGUAGCGGUGAAAUGCGUAGAGAUCUGAAGGAAUACCGGUGGCGAAGGCGGCCCCCUGGACAGAUACUGACACUCAGAUGCGAAAGCGUGGGGAGCAAACAGGAUUAGAUACCCUGGUAGUCCACGCCGUAAACGAUGUCUACUUGGAGGUUGUGGCCUUGAGCCGUGGCUUUCGGAGCUAACGCGUUAAGUAGACCGCCUGGGGAGUACGGUCGCAAGAUUAAAACUCAAAUGAAUUGACGGGGGCCCGCACAAGCGGUGGAGCAUGUGGUUUAAUUCGAUGCAACGCGAAGAACCUUACCUACUCUUGACAUCCAGAGAAGCCAGCGGAGACGCAGGUGUGCCUUCGGGAACUCUGAGACAGGUGCUGCAUGGCUGUCGUCAGCUCGUGUUGUGAAAUGUUGGGUUAAGUCCCGCAACGAGCGCAACCCUUAUCCUUGUUUGCCAGCGAGUAAUGUCGGGAACUCCAGGGAGACUGCCGGUGAUAAACCGGAGGAAGGUGGGGACGACGUCAAGUCAUCAUGGCCCUUACGAGUAGGGCUACACACGUGCUACAAUGGCGCAUACAGAGGGCUGCCAACCAGCGAUGGUGAGCGAAUCCCAAAAAGUGCGUCGUAGUCCGGAUUGGAGUCUGCAACUCGACUCCAUGAAGUCGGAAUCGCUAGUAAUCGUGGAUCAGAAUGCCACGGUGAAUACGUUCCCGGGCCUUGUACACACCGCCCGUCACACCAUGGGAGUGGGCUGCAAAAGAAGUGGGUAGUUUAACCUUUCGAGGAGGACGCUCACCACUUUGUGGUUCAUGACUGGGGUGAAGUCGUAACAAGGUAACCGUAA